UACGUAGGGUGCAGGCGUUAAUCGGAAUUACUGGGCGUAAAGCGUGCGCAGGCGGUUUUGUAAGACAGAGGUGAAAUCCCCGGGCUUAACCUGGGAACUGCCUUUGUGACUGCAAGGCUUGAGUGCGGCAGAGGGGGAUGGAAUUCCGCGUGUAGCAGUGAAAUGCGUAGAUAUGCGGAGGAACACCGAUGGCGAAGGCAAUCCCCUGGGCCUGCACUGACGCUCAUGCACGAAAGCGUGGGGAGCAAACAGG
rnacentral:rRNA from 1 species